GAUGAAGAACGUAGCGAAAUGCGAUAAGUAAUGCGAAUUGCAGAAUUCAGUGAAUCAUCGAAUCUUUGAACGCACAUUGCGCCCGCUAGUAUUCUGGCGGGCAUGCCUGUCUGAGCGUCAUUUCAACCCUCGCCCCCGGCUUUUGCUGGGAGCGGUGUUGGGGAUCGGCCGCCCGUCACUGGGAGGCCGGCCCCGAAAUAGAGUGGCGACCACGCCGUGUGCUCCUCUGCGUAGUAGUAAAUCACCUCGCAGGCGGACAGCGGUGCGGCCUGCCGUAAAACCCCCAACUCUUUCUGGUUGACCUCAGAUCAGGUAGGAAUACCCGCUGAAUUUAAGCAUAUCAAUAAGCGGAGGA
rnacentral:misc_RNA from 1 species